GGACACAGCAUGGCCAUGAGGGCCCCUGCAAAGCUCCUGGUGCUCCUGCUCCUCUGGCUCCCAGGAGACAGAGUCACCAUCACCUGCAGGGCCAGUCAGAGCAUUGGCAUAGGUUUAGCCUGGUACCAACAGAAACCAGGGCAAGCUCCUAAACUCCUCAUCUAUCAUGCAAACAUUUUGGAAUCUGGGGUUCCCUCGAGGUUCAGUGGCAGUGGAUCUGGCACAGAUUUCACUCUCACCAUCAGCAGCCUGGAGCCUGAAGAUUUUGCCACUUAUUACUGUCAGCAGUAUAAUGGUUCCCCUCCCACAGUAAGACAGGCCAUGACAAAAACCUCCCAGGGAGCAGAAGUGGGAGGCUGGGCUGCCCCAGCUGCUCCUCCUGCUGCCUCCACCUGCUGAGGGCACUGCCCAGAGGCACCAGGCUCUGAGGGUCACUGGGAGAUUUUGGUAGAAAGAGCCAAAGAGGAUCCUCUGUACCCCCGCUAGUUGUUCCUCCUCAGCCCAAGAGAAACAGACAUGAUUAUGCUCCCCUGAAAUC